rnacentral:lncRNA from 1 species
UACCAAACAGGUCCAAGUCUUCUAUGGGAUUACUUUUGAGCUACAGUUGAGAAGGACCAACUUGUGGAGUUUCAAUCUCAGCAGAGAUGAUGCUGCCUGCCUGCUAUAAGAGCACUCAGAAUUUAUGGGACGAGCACUGAGUACACAGUCUAGUACAUUGCCGAUUGCAUCAGAGACAUUGUGAUGCAUUACAACAAUUCUAAAAUUACUGUUAUCAUUCAACAUGGAUAAAUGUCCUGAUUCUGAUUGUUAGCCUCUAGAUAUCUUCUUUGAACUGACAGCUGAGGUUCCCUAAAGGGCUGUCCAUGAUUUAUCCAACAGUGCCCAAGGAAGAUACGUUUUCUCAGCUUGAGAGUCUGUUUGUGAAGGCUGGAAUUUAUCUUGCUGCCAGAUACAAAAGAGGCUGAGAAUUCCCAAGUUCUGCAUCAUCGUGGAGGAGCAAGUGAACUGAUUUCUGUGUCAGUUAUUCCAUUUGCUCCCGGGAGCAAUCGUUCUUUCCAGAUUCAAGUCCUGUUGACUCCUUUCCAAACCUCAAGCAAUUCUUGCCAAGCCAUUUUGGAGAGGCGGUUCUUGGAGAACACACAACCAUAUGGAAUGGAACUCAUGCUCCAUGCCAGCCCACACUGCAGAAUUUGCAUAAUGCAAACCAUGGUCCACCCUAUUGUAAGAAGGGCUUUGGAAAAUAUUCAUUUCUAGGGACUCCAUGCUAAGGUCUAGCAAAUUUUCUAUACAAACAGCCUCAAAGAAUGGCUUGGUAAUGAAUUGCAUCAGUAUUCACUAAUAUUAAGUUCAAAAGGAUGAAAGUAUGAAGCAGUAGUACAGUGUCGCACCUAAGCCCACUCCUACUGGACAUUGUUCAUUUCUUGAGGUUCAUUCCUUGUGUGUUGCUUGGUCAUCAUUAUCAUCCUCAGCUGACUACAGUGCCUAUCAAUAAGUAUAUGCUGAAGAAACGUAUUGUUGCCCUAUUCCCAACAGUUCAUUCCAUGUUCCUUCAAACUGAGAAAAAAACCCCAUAGACAAAGAUACAAAGAGAUGGUGUGUUUUGGGGGUAUAAAUCAAAAAAGUUAUUUUCAACAGAUAGCUGCUAGGAGAAGGAAAAUCAUUUUUCUUCAAUGAAGUGAUAUUGGAUAUAUCUACAGCACACCAGGAAUGGCUCCACACUCAAGAGGAAUCAUCCAACUUCCAUGAGUUUGGAUUUUCCUUUGAUAGGGAAAACACAAUGCUGGAUAGGUAAGGAGGUAAUAAAUUACCUGGGAAGAAUGCAGAAGAGGA